rnacentral:tRNA from 1 species
GAUGAGGUGGCCAAGUGGUUGAGGUGAGGGACGGCUGAUCCAUUGAGCUCUGCACAUGUGGGUUUGAAUCCUUUCCUCAUUA